rnacentral:rRNA from 1 species
GUGGGGGAUAUUGCACAAUGGAGGAAACUCUGAUGCAGCGACGCCGCGUGAGUGAAGAAGUAUUUCGGUAUGUAAAGCUCUAUCAGCAGGGAAGAUAAUGACAGUACCUGACUAAGAAGCCCCGGCUAACUACGUGCCAGCAGCCGCGGUAAUACGUAGGGGGCAAGCGUUAUCCGGAUUUACUGGGUGUAAAGGGAGCGUAAACGGAAUGGCAAGUCUGAAGUGAAAUCCUGCGGCUUAACUGCAGAAUUGCUUUGGAAACUGUCAAUCUGGAGUGUUGGAGAGGUAAGCGGAAUUCCUGGUGUAGCGGUGAAAUGCGUAGAUAUCAGGAAGAACACCGGGGGCGAAGGCGGCUUACUGGGCAGCAACUGACGCUGAGGCGCGAAAGCAAGGGGAGCAAACGGGAUUAGAAACCCUUGUAGUCC